UCUGUCACCUCAUCUGCUAUUCCCUGGAUACUUGGUUAGUCUAGAAAAUCCGAAAAAGGACGGGAUUUUAGAAGACUUGCUAUGCAAGAAUCGGCUAAUGAGAAAACGCCAUGGAGGCUGACUGCUGUAAUUACCUGCUGGUGCGUUACGCCUGUACGGGACUUCUGCAAAUGAUUGUUGGUUCUUUCAUUACUGAAUGCAUAUAAGAAUCUACUGCAAGCUGCUCCAUGAAGGAGGAACCUGACCUGAUAAGUUUCUUUAGGAAUCUGUUGUUCCUGUAAACCCGAGCUUGUUUGCUCUUCCCGAACAGAUCGGAAAGUUUCUUCAGAAAAUACAGUCCGGAAGAGCCCAAGGAAUCGAAUUUAACAUGGAUGUUUCUAAAGAUAUUAAAUGAGCAUGUGCAAUGAAUACUUGAAGAGCUUGACUAACUCUAAAUCCCCAUUGUAGACUGUCUUGGCAAGUGCUCUCUACUAUUUGAUCAGACUUCUGUGGCAGAGUUCUCCGAGUUUCGACGAAAUUUCAAAAACCUGACCUUGUUAGCAGAAAAAUUGCAAUUCUAUUUCGCAAUUGCAUGCGAAAGAUCUUGAUACAGACAUUCAAAUGAUUUCGAUUCUCUUUUGUCCAUUAGAUGUCUAAUUUUCAAUAUGUUAAUCGUUAAAAGUGUUAUGUGCAGUUUAUUGCAAAGUAGUGUAGAAAUCUCUUUCCAGUUCUGAAAGCCCGAAAUACUUCGAUUAAAGUUGGAUCUAAUAUCUCACUUCAUAACAUUCGCUUAAAAGAAACUCUUUAUAUUAAUCAAUAUAAAAAUCUUUAGAAGCAAUGCUCUCAGUGGCUUUCUCUAUUUUCUAUCUGGAAUUCAAACAUAUUUAAAUAUGGUAGGAAACAAAUUUACAUUCGUCUCCCCCCCCCCAAAAAAAAAAAUCUUCAUACCAUUAAGGUUA